GAUAUAGCUCAGUUGGUAGAGUGCUUGCCUAGCAUGCACAAAGCCCUGGGUUCAAUCCCCAGCACUAUCC
rnacentral:tRNA from 1 species